UACGUAGGGGUCUAGCGUUGUCCGGAAUUAUUGGGCGUAAAGAGCUCGUAGGCGGUCUGUCGCGUCUGCUGUGAAAACUCAGGGCUUAACCCUGAGCUUGCAGUGGGUACGGGCAGACUAGAGUGUGGUAGGGGAGACUGGAAUUCCCGGUGUAGCGGUGAAAUGCGCAGAUAUCGGGAGGAACACCGGUGGCGAAGGCGGUUCUCUGGGCCUGACCUGACGCUGAGGAGCGAAAGCGUGGGGAGCGAACAGG
rnacentral:rRNA from 1 species